GCCUCAGUAGCUCAGUGGUAGAGCAUUUGGUUUGUAACCAAAAGGUCGUGGGUUCAAAUCCCCCCUGAGGCU
rnacentral:tRNA from 1 species